CUACUUGAUCUUGACGUAUCUUACUUGGAUAACUGUGGUAAUUCUAGAGCUAAUACAUGCACCAAAGCUCUGACCUUGCGGAAAGAGUGCAUUUAUUAGAGCAAAACCAAGCGACUUCGGUCGUUUAAUGCUGACUCAGAAUAACUCAGCUGAUCGUACGGUCUUUGAACCGGCGACGUGUCUUUUGAGUAUCUGCCUUAUCAAUUUUCGAUGGUAGUGUAUCUGACUACCAUGGUGUUGACGGGUAACGGAGAAUAAGGGUUCGACUCCGGAGAAGGGGCCUGAGAAAUGGCCACUACGUCUAAGGAUGGCAGCAGGCGCGCAAAUUACCCACUCUCAGUACGAGGAGGUAGUGACGAGAAAUAACGAGACCGUUCUCUUAGAGGCCGGUUAUCGGAAUGGGUACAAUUUAAACCCUUUAACGAGUAUCUAUGAGAGGGCAAGUCUGGUGCCAGCAGCCGCGGUAAUUCCAGCUCUCAAAAUGCAUAGAACCAUUGCUGCGGUUAAAAAGCUCGUAGUUGAAUCUUUGCCAGAGACUUGGUCGACUCCUUUGAGCGCGUACUAAGUUCUUUGGCUUUUACCGUCGGUUUUCUUGUUGUCGCCUUUAUUGGUGGUGGCAAGUGGCUGACAAUUUUACUUUGAACAAAUCAGAGUGCUCAACACAGGCGUUUUGCUUGUAUGCUUUUGCAUGGAAUAAUAGAAUAUGACUAUGGUCUAGUUUUAUUGGUUUUAUAGAUCGUUGUAAUGAUUAAAAGAGACAAACGGGGGCAUUCGUAUUGUUGCGUGAGAGGUGAAAUUCUUGGACCGCAGCAAGACGACCUACAGCGAAAGCAUUUGCCAAGCUUGUCUUCAUUAAUCAAGAACGAAAGUCAGAGGAUCGA
rnacentral:rRNA from 1 species